CCAAUCCACUACUCUUGUUCACCACAUCAGACCGAAUAUCCAUAAUUAUGCGAGGUUUGGUUCUGGUCUUAUUGAUGAAAAUCCUGGAGUUUCUCUUUUGCCAAAUGUGAGCAAUGGUAGCACCAAAAGUCAUCUUAGCUAUUGCACCAAUAGAGUCCCC